GAUGAACGCUAGCGGCAGGCCUAAUACAUGCAAGUCGAACGGUGUCUUCGGACAUAGUGGCGCACGGGUGCGUAACACGUAUGCAACCUACCUUACAUUGGGGGAUAGCCUUUCGAAAGGGAGAUUAAUACCGCAUAAGACAGUAGUCUGGCAUCAGACAGCUGUUAAAGAUUUAUCGAUGUAAGCUGGGCAUGCGUCCAAUUAGUUAGUUGGCGGGGUAACGGCUCACCAAGCCUAUGAUUGGUAGGGGAACUGAGAGGUCAAUCCCCCACACUGGCACUGAGAUACGGGCCAGACUCCUACGGGAGGCAGCAGUAGGGAAUAUUGGGCAAUGGACGCAAGUCUGACCCAGCCAUGCCGCGUGCAGGAAGAAGGCGUUAUGCGUUGUAAACUGCUUUUAUACAGGAAGAAACGACUCUUGCGAGAGGCAUUGACGGUACUGUAUGAAUAAGCACCGGCUAACUCCGUGCCAGCAGCCGCCGUAAUAC
rnacentral:rRNA from 1 species